rnacentral:rRNA from 1 species
UACGUAGGGGGCGAGCGUUGUCCGGAAUCAUUGGGCGUAAAGCGCGUGUAGGCGGCCCGGUAAGUCCGCUGUGAAAGUCCAGGGCUCAACCCUGGGAUGCCGGUGGAUACUGUCGGGCUCGAGUCCGGAAGAGGCGAGUGGAAUUCCUGGUGUAGCGGUGAAAUGCGCAGAUAUCAGGAGGAACACCAAUGGCGAAGGCAGCUCACUACGCGAAUAUUGACACUGAGGCACGAAAGCGUGGGGAUCAAACAGG